rnacentral:lncRNA from 1 species
UGCUAUUUGUCCCUCUCCAGGUGUCCAGUUUUAACCUGGUUUCCAAUGAAUGCUGACAGUUGUCCUCAGAUUAAAUCCGCAAAUUCUUUUUCUGUCCCAUGACGUAUUUAUUUGGGCUUAAAGGCUUGAACCAGUUUGAGUGAUCCUGAGCUUUUAUACAAUCUUCUCACCUAUGUUGGGCCUCAGUUUCUUGUUGACCUUGAGUAUUCUACCAUUUGCUUUUUGAAGAUCAUCUUUUCUUUCAAGAUGAGAGGUGUCAUAUUUUCCAUCUUACCCAAGGGAUGCGACUAUAUGCCUUUCCUCCUUUGGGUUCCAAAUAGAGCUAAAACCACAUGUGCCAGCUUCUUUCUUUUGAGAGGAAUUCUUUCUAUGAGUGGGGGGCAUGAGAAUGGGCCCCAUUGAUGGAGAGACUAGAUGAAUUCCAUGUUUCUAGGCAACUCCAGGAGUCGGCAGACCUCCACGCUGCUGUCCUGCCUGUUCCAUCAGCACCACCCACUUCUCUUUAGUGACCUGGCAAGGGUUCUUCCUUGUUGAAAUGAAGGGUAGAAAGAUCCUGAGCGGCUCCCUUUCCAGAUGCCACACACCUCGGAGGUAGAAGACACUCUGUGGAGACCAGGGGCAUCAGCUGGACCGUAGCAAUGAGACCUCUGUCCUCUCCCACCCCGGUCGCUAGCCUUCUCUGAGGCUCCAUGACGAAUGGGUACAGGCAAACGAAGCCCACUCUUACAACCAAAUGAAGGCAUCACCCGAGGAUGUCACAGUGAUUCUCAAAUGGAUGGUUUUAAGGAUACCUGCGACCUUUUAGAAAGAACAUCAUCACUGGGUGUGUUCUCUCACCUGUGUUUUUCUUGGUUGUUGUUUUCAAUAGGGUGAGCAGAAAGGUGGCUCAGGAGGGGGGCAGUGGUAUCCUUCCUUCCCUCCUUGCUUGCUCCCUUUGUUUGUUCCAUGAUGAUUUAUUGAGGACCUCCUAUGUCCCAGGCACUGGACUAGGCACCAGGGAUGUGGUGGGAACAAAACAGAGAACGCCCCUGUCCUCCGAGGGCUCAUGGGCGGCUGCAUUGCACGUCCUUAUCUCAGGAAGGAGUUAGAGCAGGCCUCCCUGGGACCCCUGGGGCAACAUGGAGCACUGCAGGUUGAUUUAUACCCCUACUUGAAGAGGGGCCAUUCAGGGCCUGGGUGGGCAAGGCCGCUGGAGGUUUGCUGGGGCUCUGACCUGUUUGAUCCAGGUGUUGGGUGAGGGCACGGGUGACCUGUCCUCUGUGCUCCAGCCACACCUAGCUUCACGCAGCCACACUUCUCUCACCUCUGAGCUUUGCACACGUUCUUCCUCUGCCUGGAACGUGACUCCCAUUCCACCCCAUCCACCUGCCUGUCCCACUCCUGCUCAUCCUUCAAAUGUAGGGUUAUAUGCUGCGUUUUUUGAGAAACUUCCCCCAAAUCCUCAAGUCUGUGUUAGGUGUCCCCAUUGAAUCUUGCUGUGUCUCCUUUAUCAUUGUACUUACGUGUGUGCUUAUUUAGCUGCCUGCUGCCCUACUAGGCUCUAACUUCUAGCCCAACUUGGUUACCACUCUCUCCCAGGAUCUAGCACAUGGCCCGACAUGGUUUGGGGUCUUGAUAAGUAUUUGCGGGUUGAUAAGCAGGUUCUUACCUUCUUCAUCAUAAGACCCAGGGUACUUUCUAAUCCCCAUUUCUCGUUUGACCUCUUGUUGGCAAUUAACAUGUGUAAGAACUUCUUCUUGAAACUUUCCUCCCUGGUUUCUGAACCAUUGUUGUCCACUGGUUUUCCUCCCAGCCCUGGACUCGUCUGUCUCAGCCUCCUCUGAGUCCACUGACAAUGGACAUUUGUUCAUGGGCCCCUGAGCACUGAUUCCCCUCUCCCCCUCUCCCAGCUCUAAUUUUCUUGGAUUCUUGUGGUUCAGGAAAGCUGAUACCACCCCAGGUUCUAUGGAUGGAGCCUGUGACCUAGAUUAGGCAAAUUGGCACAUCCCAUGCCCCUGGCCGGGGUUACUGGUUCAGAAGCGGGCACCCAUCUGAGCCAGUCCAAAUGGGAGCAAGCUUGGGACCUGUGCUUGGGCAGAGAUACGCUCUCUUUUCUGAGGAAAUCUGUUGCUCUGGCAGCCAGCCUUAUGAUGAAGAUGACACUGAGGAAAGCUGAGCAGAGAUGGAGAGAAAACGGGUCUCUGUAGACCUGGCUGUGCCCUUGGAUGAAGCCUUGGCCCAGGCCAGAGACUAUCCCUGGAGUUUCCAAUGUCAUGGAUUUCUGGCAUUGUUUGAGUUGACCAUUCUGUUACUUGCAACCAAAAGCAUCCUUAGCAAUGUGCAUUCCUCUUCCAUCCCUUGGAGGUCGGUGCUCCAGAGGGUGUAAUCCUCGGCUCUUCUCUUCUCACUUCCGUGCCUGCCCAUGGUUCUCAUCUAUGACUUAAAUUAGACUUGACGUCUCCAACUCAGACCCCUCUCUUGAGUUCUCUACCUAUAGAUCCCGAUGCCUUCUGGACAUUUCCACUUGGACAUCUGGGUGGCACCACUAUCCUAACACAUCCCAAGAUGAAAGGAAUUCUUCACCUUGCAAGCUCCUUCUCCUCUCAUCUUUUCUUCUUGCUGAUUGGCAUUGCCACCCACCUGGUUACACUAGCAGGAACCUGGGUGAGUCCUUGUCCCCUCUUUCUCCCUCACUUCUUACCCUGUCCAUCAAAUUAUUCACUGAGUUUGGCCAGGUCCCCUUGGCUUUGGUUAUCUCUCCAAAGCAUUGGCCUCCAUCCAUCCUCACUGCUGACUCUGCUCACAGCACCACAUGGCUGGACCUUCUCAACAGCCGUACCUCUAAUCUCAUGCCAUCCGUCUCAGAGCCAGAGGGCCCUUCCAGAGUAAGGUACAGUGUCCCUCCCCUGCUUAAAAUCUUUAGUGACUCCUUACCAUCCAGAGAGUCAACAAGGUCGCUCAUGAUGUGACCCUGACCCAGCUCCAGGUUCCCUUCCCACUUCUUCCUCCCAUAUCCUGGCUAUAUCGACAAGCCACAUUGUUUCCAGCAAGUCCUGCUCUCCAUUACCUCUGCACACGAGUCUUUGCCUGUGCUGUCCCCUUUGUCUGGAAUGUCCUUCCUCUCCUCGUCUCCUUUUCCUCCCUUGGUUGCCUUUAGUUUGACCUUCAGAACUGUUUCCUUCCAGUGCCUCUCCAGGUCCCUGCUCUGCUUUGGUCUGGUGCUUUUCCCAAGGGCUCUCCAUCGUGCCUGAAGCACCCCUCCGGCUGCAGUGUACACUCAGUGUGCUGGAGCCGACUCACAUCAGCUCGCUGCAGCUGGUACCAGCUUAUACUGACUGUGAGAGCCGGUACUGGGCAUCUUUGCCCAGCUCCAAGUCCACUGCCCUUACAUGGACAGCGAGGAGUUGGCAUGGCGGAAGAAUUCACACCCCAGGACUCUGGGAGCGCUACAAAUCUGGGCGUUUCUGCUUGGCUGCUUUUCCCACAGAGCCAGUUUACCAGCAGAGCACUGGGCAUAACCACCUGCCGACUCGCCUGCUUCCCUCUCUAGCCUGUAAGAUCCUUGGGGGCAGCCCCAGUGGCCCUCCCACCCUCCGCCCACAGCACCGUGUAGGCUGCUGCCGGAGCACAUGGAGGCUGGAAGGCUACGCUUUCCUUCCUUCAGGUUCUGCAGACCCAGCAGUGAUUUCUGACUAUGUGUCUAUUCUGACACACCGUCUGGAGUCCCUUGGUGAUCCCUGAGGUGGAAUAUCGUCUGUCGAUGUGCUCCAUCCCAACUGCCAUUAGCAUCGUCCAGUUUCCCAAAGGGGACGCAUUUCCAAAGAAGUGUAUCCUUUUGUUUCCAAAGGAGACAGUUUAGUGUGAACACUUUUCCAUUCCUCAGGGAUGUGCUAUUUGAGCAGAAACAAAGAGAAUUAACAGAAAGAGUAUUAAUUAAACAGUCCAUCUGGGAUCAAUGUUUUCUUAAGAGGCAGCAUAAUUGAAUGGGUAAAAAAUAACCUUGGAAAAUCGUUUUGUUUCUUUUUUUGGUCUGGUGUCACCCCCGACCCAUAGAGUGACCAGGGUGAGCGCUUCCUACUUUCCUGCUUUUGGGGAACAACUUCCAUUCUCUAAAAACACUUUAAUGGGCAAACCUACCAGCUAAAACCUGGUGCUUAAAUAAUAAAUUCGGUUUAUUUGCUAUAAUAACUUAAAAUCUUGGUUUAAG